rnacentral:ncRNA from 1 species
CUAUGACUUAAAUGAAAGUCAUGGCGGAAGGAG